rnacentral:rRNA from 1 species
CCAAAGAUCGAAGCCGUAGGGAAACCGAGUCUUAAUAGGGCGUUUAGUUGCAUGCUGCAGACGUGAAACCGGGUGAUCUAUCCUUGACCAGGGUGAAGCGUGGGUAAAACCACGUGGAGGCCCGAACCAGUGUCGGUUGAAAACGGCUUGGAUGAGUUGGGGGUAGGGGUGAAAGGCCAAUCAAACCCGGGAAUAGCUCGUUCUCCCCGAAAUAGCUUUAGGGCUAGCCUUUGGCGAUGGAUUGCGGAGGUAGAGCACUGGAAGGGCUAGGGGGCCUAUAAGCUUACCGAACCCUACCAAACUCCGAAUGCCGCAUAUCUUAGCCAGGGAGUCAGACUGCGAGGGAUAAGCUCCGUAGUCGAAAGGGAAACAGCCCAGACCGCCAGCUAAGGCCCCUAAGUGCAGGCUAAGUGGAAAAGGAUGUCGAGAUGCACAGACAGCCGGGAGGUUGGCUUAGAAGCAGCCAUCCUUUAAAGAAAGCGUAAUAGCUCACCGGUCGAGUGACUCGGUGCCGAAAAUGUACCGGGGCUAAGCCUGCCGCCGAAGCUGCGGAUUCAUAGGAACUCCGGUUCCUAUGAGUGGUAGGGGAGCGUUCUGUGUUGCUUGAAGUCAGACCGUAAGGACUGGUGGACGGCACAGAAGUGAGACUGCCAGCACGAGUAGCGAUAAAGAGGGUGAGAACCCCUCUCGCCGGAAGUCUAAGGUUUCCUGAGGAAGGUCAGUCCGCUCAGGGUUAGGCGGCCUCUUAGUCGAGGACGAAGGUCGUAGACGAAGGGAAGCAGGUCAACAUUCCUGCCCCGCCUGAAUAACGUUUGACCGAUGGGGUGACGCAGGAGGGUAGCUCAGCCUGCGAUUGGAAGUGCAGGUUGCAAGCAAGUAGCCGGGGGGACCAGGCAAAUCCGGGCCCCCAUUUCAAACGGUGAGAUGUGAUGCCGAGGUCUUCGGACCGCAAAGUGAGUGAUCCCACGCUGCCAAGAAAAACCUCGUAGGGAGUUGUUCAGGCGACCGUACCGCAAACCGACACAGGUAGACAGGGAGAGAAUCCUAAGGCGAACGAGUUAACACUGGUUAAGGAACUCGGCAAAUUGGCUCCGUAACUUCGGGAGAAGGAGCGCCCCGUUAGCGUGAAGGACCUUGCGUCCGGAGCGUGAGGGGGUCACAGAAACCAGGCCCAGGCGACUGUUUACUAAAAACACAGGUCUCUGCAAAGUCGAAGUCGACGUAUAGGGACUGACGCCUGCCCGGUGCCGGAAGGUUAAGAGGACGGGUUAGCCCUCGGGCGAAGCUCAGAAUUGAAGCCCCGGUAAACGGCGGCCGUAACUAUAACGGUCCUAAGGUAGCGAAAUUCCUUGUCGGGUAAGUUCCGACCUGCACGAAUGGCGUAACGAUCUGGGUGCUGUCUCGACCAGUGGCUCGGCGAAACUGAAGUGCCGGUGAAGAUGCCGGCUACCCGCAGCUGGACAGAAAG